GCGCCACCCGCGCUCCCUUCGCAGUGCAGACGUGUUCCGGGAAUCGCGCUCUGCGCUGCCUCCACGUAGAGACGAGACUUGAAGGAAAUCCCCCCUUUUCCCCCUUCCUUCUCGUCCUGCCGGCCCAGCCGAGCAGCUCCGGCGGGGCCGCCGCCGGUACCGCUGUGCCUCCGCGCCAGGACCGCGGACUGUGUAGUGUGCGCUGUGAUGGCUCAGCUCCUACAGCAUCACGGAAGAAGGCAGGUUGGAAAAGAUCUCUGAGAUCACCGAGGCCGACCCCACGAAUCCCACCAUGUAAACCAAAACAUAGCACUGAGUGCCACAUCCAGUCUUUCCUUAAACAACGCCAGGGACACUGACUUUACCACCCCCUUGGGCAGCUCUUCUGUGAAGAAAUUCUUUCUAAUGUCCAACAUAAACCUCCCCAGCACAGCUUGAGGCUGUCCUCUUGUCCUGACAUUUGCUACCUGGGAGAAAGAGACCAACCCCUGCCUGUCUACAACCUGCUUUUGGGCAGGUGUGGAGAGUGGAAGAAGAAUUGGAAAGCAACCAGCCCAGUUGUGCCAACUUUUGCUAGUUCACAAGGCUGUCAGCAAUGACUUUGGAGUCCCUCACCACCAGGGAUCACCAAAGAGACCCCCAAGACAGAAGAACACAUGGAGAGAGGGGAGGGAACAUAUGUUAAUGACUUCAGAGAAAUGAUUCUCAUAUAUAUGUUUCUUCUAGGAAAUCCUAUCAAUGUGUAUGUAAAAUACAGUGCAUAAACUAGAGCUCUGUACUCAGCAUGAAUGAGAUUUUGGAGAAGCUAUCCCCUCAUGCAUCCAGCUCAAUAAAGAAUGCUGCCUUCUUAAUGCUA